GAGAGAGAGAGAGAGAGCAAGAGAAUUCAUGAAUAAUCGCGAGGAAGAAAAUUUUGGGCUCAAGUUGAAGGUCGAUGAAAUAAGCGUGUGCAGAGGGAACGUUUAGGAUUAGUGCAAUACACGUGGAUUGUUUACACGUUGUAUUAAGCGGUAACUCCACUGUACACUCUUCCAUUAAAUUGCGCUCUUGCGGCAAGACUGGGACUUCUUCGAAAGCCCGCCGAAGCUGCUCCAACGUUCUUGUAUUGUUUGGCUUAUUGCAUGGAUUGGUCGGGAUUAUUUGUAUUUUCGCGUGGGUGCCGCAGCUAAACUGCUUGUCGACGAGUGUUACGACUUGGGAUUCUUCGGUUUCUCGGAUUUUACGCAAAUUUUUGGUAUGUGCCCUCUGUGUUUCUCUUUUAGACAGGUCGGAC
rnacentral:misc_RNA from 1 species